AACGAACGCUGGCGGCAGGCUUAACACAUGCAAGUCGAACGCCCCGCAAGGGGAGUGGCAGACGGGUGAGUAACGCGUGGGAAUCUACCGUACCCUACGGAAUAACGCAUGGAAACGUGUGCUAAUACCGUAUACGCCCUUAGGGGGAAAGAUUUAUCGGGGUAUGAUGAGCCCGCGUUGGAUUAGCUAGUUGGUGGGGUAAAGGCCUACCAAGGCGACGAUCCAUAGCUGGUCUGAGAGGAUGAUCAGCCACAUUGGGACUGAGAUACGGACCAAACUCCUACGGGAGGCAGCAGUGGGGAAUAUUGGACGAUGGGCGCAAGCCGGAUCCAGCCAUGCCGCGUGAGUGAUGAAGGUCUUAGGAUUGUAAAGCUCUUUCACCGAUGAAGAUAAUGACGGUAGUCGGAGAAGAAGCCCCGGCUAACUUCGUGCCAGCCGCCGCUGUAAUAC
rnacentral:rRNA from 1 species